rnacentral:rRNA from 1 species
AUGCGUAUGCCUGAUGGUUUUUGGUCAUCUUAUGAAGAAGACACACACGGAUAUUGGAAGGUGUAUCAUGAUCAGCAACGGGACAUCCAAACCUGCAGUUUGAGCGAUAAGUUCUAUGGUCCCAUGUGCCUCCCUGACAUCAAGAAUCCGUCUGUGCAUGAUGUUGGCGUAAUUCAAGACUUCUAUUAUUCCCACCGUGGGUACAUGGCCAAGCAUUUUGAACAUUUAAUGUACCUCAAAUAUGUGAUAGAGGAGAACUUGAUACUACAAGUAAGCAGCAAAAUCAAGGACCUGAUACAAGAUCUUAAGUGGCUGGAACAAAAUCCUGGUUUAAUGUUGCCUGAGCCGGUUCAUUCGAUUGAAGAAGCCGAGGAGGAAUUGGUUGACUAUUUAGUUCCUGAAACUGAGAAUGAUUAUCCCGAUCAGUCAGAUGAGGAAGAUAGAGAUACCAAUAUGAUGAGCAGGCUCAAUCUUGAAGCUUCAAGUGGUAAGACGACAGGCAUGAAGUGA